rnacentral:rRNA from 1 species
UACGUAGGGUGCGAGCGUUAAUCGGAAUUACUGGGCGUAAAGCGUGCGUAGGCGGUUCGCUGUGUCCGAUGUGAAAGCCCCGGGCUUAACCUGGGAAUGGCAUUGGAAACUGGUGGGCUUGAGUGUGGCAGAGGGGGGUGGAAUUCCGCGUGUAGCAGUGAAAUGCGUAGAGAUGCGGAGGAACACCGAUGGCGAAGGCAGCCCCCUGGACUGCACCUGACGCUGACACGCGAAAGCUAGGGGAGCGAACGGG